rnacentral:rRNA from 1 species
GAUGAACGCUGGCGGCGUGCUUAACACAUGCCAGUCGAGCGAAGAAACGAGGCGUUUUCUCCUCUGACGUAACGGGCGGGUGGGUGAGUAGCACGUGGAUAACCUACCUGUAAGACUGGACUAAAUUCGGGAAGCCGGAGCUAAGACCGGGUAAUAGAUAGAACCGCAUGGUUCAAUAUGGUAAGACGGGUUUGCGGUCAGCGAGAGGUCGGUCCGCGCCGCAUUAGCUGGUUGGUAAGGUGACGGCCUACCAAGGCGACGAUGGGUAGCCGAACUGAGAGGGUGAUCGGCCACACUGGAACUGAGACACGGCCCAGACUCCUACGGGAGGCAGCAGUAGGGAAUCUUCCGCAAUGGGCGAAAGCCUGACGCAGCAACGCCGCGUGAGUGAAGAAGGCCUUAGGAUCGUAAACCUCUGUCAUAAGGGACGAACAUAUUUCUGAGAAAAUACGCACGUAUUGACGGUACCUUCAGAAGAAGCAACGGCUAACUACGUG